CUCCCGGCCGGCCGGCCGGCGCGCCGGUCCGGACGCUCGCCAAGCGCCCGACGCCCCUGGAGCAAAGUUGCACCCGCUGCUCGCGGCCCCCAGCCCCGAGCAGGUAGUAGUAGUUGGCAAUGGUUAAAUGGACCUAUGAUGGACUUAAGCAAUGAAUAUUGGAUUCUGGUGGUAAGAGAACACAGAAAAAAGAGCCAGGGCACCUGCCAUCCAGCAGUUCACAAACAACCUGAUCAAUAAAUGGGCUUAAGAAAUGGACAGGCAGAAGAAACACAGAUGGCUGGUAAACGUGGGGAAAAAAAGAAGUCUGUCCUCACCAGUCGUUAGAGAAGUGCAAGUCCACACUACACGGAGACUCCCUCUCACGCCAGUCAGAACAUCAGUCAGAAGGCAAACAAGAGAUGCUGGUGUGAAAGUGGACGAGAGGGAGCCCUUGUGUGCUGGUGGGAAAACAAACCAGUCCAAUCUCUACGAAAAUUGCCAUGGGGGUUUCCUCAAGAAACCAGCAGCAGAUCUACCAUAUGGCCCGGCGAUCCUCCUCUGUGGGUAUUUACCCAAAGACUCCAAAUCAGCAUUAUCACAGAGUUGGCUACCUAUGAAUGUGUAUUGCAGCACAACUCGCCAUAGUUAAGUUAUGGAACCGACCUAGGUGCUCCUGCAAGAGGGAAAUGGAAUAAGAAAAAUGUGGUAUAGAUACACAAUAGAACUUUUUUUUUUCAGCCAUAAAGGAGACUGGUUAUGUCAUUGAUGGAUGCUACUGGAGACACAAAGACAGCCUCAGAAAGACGACAUCACGUUUUCUCUCA